CAGGUGGAGGAACAGGCAGCGAUUGUUAGGGCGACAGGUGGAGUCACAGGCAGCGAUUGUUAGGGUGACGGGCGGAUUCACAGGCAGCGAUUGUUAGGGCGACGGGCGGAGGAACUGGCAGCGACUGUUAGGGCGACAGGCGGAGGAACUGGCAGAGAAACACACACAAUGCUAGAGUACCCUGCACCGACACUCGGGUACGGGGCACAGUAACAGACGGCGGUGCUUGUAUAACAGGUGGAGGACCACCUAGCGAUGGUAGGGUACCCAGCAGGAACACAGCUGCAUGCGAGAGGAACAGGUCCCCUCCCAGCCCCUUUGCUGCUCCCCAGAGCUGUUUGCAUUCUCGCACGGACAGACUCCAGAGGGCAAAGGGAUUUGGAGCGGGAUGUCAUGGGGCUGAGCCCUGACCCCGGGCUCCUGGCCUGACGCACCCUACUGGCAGCGGGGAAGUGACUCCAGAUUGAUACCCACAGAAAUGAGAUCAGAAUCCGUCUCUGGGACCACUGGCUGCUGAGGCUGGGGAAGGGAGAGCCUAGCCCUGGGAGCCAGGACUCCUGGGUUCCAUCCCCAGCUCUGGGAAGGGAGCGCGGUCUAAUGGGUUAGAGCAGGGGCUGGGAACCAGGACUCAUGGGUUCUCCCCCAGCUCUGGAUGGGAAGUGGGGUCUGGUGGGUUAGAUCCAAGGGGGCUGGGAGCCAGGACUCCUGAAAUAGGUGGGUGAAGGGCAGGGGGGGUCUUCGCUCUCCGUUUCCAGCCGGGCCCCGGCCUUGCAACAGAUCUGCCCAGGCUCAGAACUCUUCUCUUGCUCUUUUUGUUUGGGGUUUUUUGGGGGUGGGGGAUUUUUUUGGCAGAAAAAAGAAAGAAAAAGACACAGAAAAAAAAUCAACGUCUUUUGUACAAAAAUACCUCCCCCCCAAUAAUUUCGGGGCUCGGGGGGGUGGGGAGGGCAUGAUACAGCGACAGGAUGGCCGGACAGAGCCUCCUGACAGCAGCCACUUCUGGAGGGACCCCAGGGGGACAGCCACUCUGUCGGCGGAGGGAGAGCAUUGGGAGGUGGGGGGCAGUGUGGGGGUUCGCUCAGAGCUUUGGUUCUUGUCCAGCUCCUCCCCCCCUUUUUUGGGGUGCUGGGGGGAAGAGGCCGUUCUCGUUUCUUUUCUUUUUGAUAUAAAAACCAACGGAAUGAAACAAACUGACCAAACGGUGUUUUCUUUGAGCCAGGGGCACGCAGGACCCGUCUUCCGGGGCAUCCGGACACCUGAGUUCUUACCCUGGCUCUGGGAGGAGAGUGGGGUCUGGUGGGUUAGAGCAGGGGGGCUGGGAGCCAGGACUCCUGGGUUCAGUCCCUGAUUCUUGCCGUCAGUCACUAUUGGCCAUUGUGGAACAAAUCUCUUCAUGCCUUUUCCCCCCGCGAGCUAGGUCAGGCGAGUGCAGUAUGAAUGCAGACCCCGAUUACUCCAGCCUCGGCCUCUCCCAGCCGGGGGGUGCUGGUGCACCCGGGGCAAAGUUUGGGCCAGGAAGUAGUUGGCUCCCCCGGCAUCUGAACCGAAACCUCCAUCUGUGCUUUGGUUUCCUGCCCGACCCUGCCCCCGAAAUUUCGAUU